GAGCCGAUGAGAAGAGGCUGCGCGCGUCUCUGCAGCCACAGUGGAAGCUCACGUUCGCUGGGAGGCGAAUCCAGGAAAAGUUGGGACACUUGUCUCACUUCGUCUCCGAAAAGAUCUAGAGGGAAGAAGGGUCGGAAGCCAAGGGCGCGCGGAAAAGGAAACAUAAGAGAAGCAAGGAGAGGAAGAAAAAGGAGAAGGGUCAGAAAAAGCAGGAGAAGCUGAGGACUUGAGCCACCAUCAACACCUUGCGUGCAGAUGACUCCUGUUCUCCCAGCCCCCCAGCCUUUACCUUUCCACUGCCUGCACCUGUGCGUUCUGACCCUUUGCAAUCAAGCCCAACCUGAGUCCUCAGACAGAGCAACCAAGGAGAGGUCUGGGCUGGGCCUUCUGACUACCAGCCCAGGACCCCUUCCACUCAUUUGCUCUCAAUGGGGAGCAAAGACCCUGUAGGCUCACCCCAGACCCCAGCCCUUAGCCCCCAGACCCGUACGGCUUCAUGCUGAAGAAGUCCUUGAUGCCCUCUGAGGAGACAGGACUGGGGCCCUUGUUCUUCUCUGCCACCGACUUGUCCUUGGUCCAGGUGAGAUGCACUUUUUCUGGAUCUGCCUCGCCCUCCACCUCGGGCUCCUCCCCCGGAGACGGUGAGCUGCUAGGGCAGCUGGGAGCACUCUGGUCAUGGAUCAGCUGCACCUAAGGGAUGAAAGAAGGGAUGGCACGUGAUUCAUUUGGAGGCCAAAGGUUCUGCUCCCACCGGUUGCAGCCAAACUACCCGAGCUGCAUACCUCCUCUUCCGGCUUCUCCUCACUGUCACCAGCCGUCUCUUCUGGGACGUUGAGACGGAGCCGGGUGUUGGCUGGAUUCUUUCUCCGGAUUGAGCCACGAGACUCAUCUGUGAUACUCUGGAUCUAGGGAGGGACACAAGUUGGUGCCAUGGAAAUCACUACCCAUGCCCUGCAAAGAGCUACCCCCAAAGCUGAUGUUCAGCCAGGAUGUGCACUUUCGGGACCUGUACCAGUUGUUAAAAUACUGCGGUGCUUCCACACCAAAUAGCUAUUGCCCCACUGAUAUGGCCACUCCAACUCCUCUCCAGUACCCCUGGCCUUCCCACUCUCCAGUGACCAAAGGGUUGACACCUGGCCCAGCUGAGCUCUACCUCAGGGCCAGUUCUGACUGGUCAGUGCACAUGCCACUUCUUACAAUUGUACUGUCACCCACCUCUGAGAGCUCUUCUGUCCCCAGCCCUAAGGACCCCACUCGCUGGGGUGGGGCUUUCAUCCAAAUGCCAGAGGGCUGGUGGGCCCAUGUUACCCACACGGGAGAGACCUUACAGCCAGCCUUACCCCAUGAGAACUCAUCACCGUUACCCCUGAGAACCCACCAUCCACACCCUAGGAGGUUUGCCCCCAGCUCUCAUCAUCAGCUGUAUCCUGAAAUAUCCACUCAUUACUCACUCUCUAAGGGUCUAUCACAUGAUACCUUGUCCCCCACACUGCAGCCCACACCCCUGAGGAAUCAUCAUCCAUACACAUUUAACUUCCACUCUUCUCCCUUGGGCCCCAGAAGUCACGUUGAGAGUACAUCUGUCACCCUUGCCAAAGCCCCUCUGCAUCUCAGCUGGGAGGCUGGAGACAGGCAGCUGCAGCGUGCACCCUUGCUGCUGGGGAACCAGUGCCAGGAGGUGGCAAUGCCAGUGACCAGGAGUGGGCCAUCCCAAAUCUGUGCAGCCCCAGAGCUGGCAGCAGCUUGAGACACUCCGAGCCCAGCUAGGGCAACCUCACCUCCCGUUCCCGCUCAUUCUUGGUUAAAUGCAUUUGUUUGAGGAUCUGGGAACGCUGCUCCAUCACCAAGGUCUUCUCGUAGGUGUAAGCGGAGAUGUCGCUCUCAUGCUGUGGGCAGGCAGGGGCGGGAUGGGGGAGAGGGGCAAGGGAGGAAAGUAUGAGCUCCGAGCUCAGGUGCAAGGCCAAGAAAAGAGAGGCAGGCCCUCUUCCUGCUGCCAGCCUAGGGCUUCCCUGUCCAAUGACCUAGUUUAAUAAACAGUUGUGGGAGGAAGGACAAAGCAGAGGGUGAUGCUCUUUGAAGGUGAGGCAACUCAUUCCCUCCUCAAGCCCAGGACUGGGUGAAUGAAUGGGUGAAUUAAUGAAUGAGUUGAUUAAUUAAUUACCUGGGUGAAUGGAGAGGGGGAAGAAGUUAAAAAAGGAACAUAGAGAUGAAUGAAUACACACACAUAUGCAUGAAUGAGUGAGUGAAUAAAUACAUUAAUGAAUAUAUGGGUGGAUUAAUGAAUAUACCAUUAGAGGGAUGGGUAAAUGGUGCUGAGUGGAAUGGAUAACAAGAGGCUUUAGAGUGUAACUACUAGAAACCUGGACUCUAGAGCCAGUCUGCCUGAGUUUGAAUUCUGGCUUUGCCACUUGGUGUACGUUUGGGGCAAAUUACUUAACGUUUCUGUGCCUCAACUUCCUAAUCUGUAAAAUGGGAAUACUGAUAAUUGGAUAACUGUAUCUAUUUCAUUGAUUGCUGUGAGAAGUAAUGUAUAUAUAAAGCACAUAGAACAGUG